rnacentral:lncRNA from 1 species
GAAGGGAUCCCAAAUUGGUCAAGGGAUGAACCUCACUUGAUCAAUACCACUCAUUCAUUUGAGGAAUAAAGUUUUAAACUUCAUCAACCUCAUAAAUCCAAUGGUAUUGACCAAGUCAAGGUCCAAUUCUACCAAGACCAAUGCCAAACAGAAGUGAGGUCAACACAAAGUCAAUAGAAAAGCUCACCAAAGCAUUAAAUCAAUUAAGUUAUUUUUAAAACAAUUUAAAAAUGAAGAAAAAUAAGUUUUCAAAGAUCAAAU